CCUACGGGUGGCAGCAGUGAGGAAUAUUUGUCAAUGGGCGAGAGCCUGAACCAGCCAAGUCGCGUGAAGGAUGAAGGAUCUAUGGUUUGUAAACUUCUUUUAUAUGGGAAUAAAGUAAGGAGCGUGUUCCUUUUUGUGUAUACCAUAUGAAUAAGCAUCGGCUAACUCCGUGCCAGCAGCCGCGGUAAUACGGAGGAGGCGAGAGUUAUCCGGAUUUAUUGGGUUUAAGGGGUGCGUAGGUGGUUAAUUAAGUCAGCGGUGAAAUUUUGUGGCUCAACCAUAAAAGUGCCGUUGAAACUGGUUGACUUGAGUAUAUUAGAGGUAGGCGGAAUGCGUGGUGUAGCGGUGAAAUGCAUAGAUAUCACGCAGAACUCUGAUGGCGAAGGCAGCUUACUAAACUAUAACUGACACUGAAGCACGAAAGCGUGGGGAUCAAACAGGAUUAGAUACCCGUGUAGUC
rnacentral:rRNA from 1 species